UGUGGGAGCGGGCUUGCUCGCGAAUGCGGUGGGUCAGCUGACAUUGACUAACCUGACACUCCCUCAUCGCGAGCAAGCCCGCUCCCACA
rnacentral:misc_RNA from 1 species